AUUGAACGCUGGCGGCAUGCCUUACACAUGCAAGUCGAACGGUAACGCGGGGCAACCUGGCGACGAGUGGCGAACGGGUGAGUAAUGUAUCGGAACGUGCCCAGUUGUGGGGGAUAACUGCUCGAAAGAGCAGCUAAUACAGCAUACGACCUGAGGGUGAAAGCGGGGGAUCGCAAGACCUCGCGCAAUUGGAGCGGCCGAUAUCAGAUUAGGUAGUUGGUGGGGUAAAGGCCUACCAAGCCUACGAUCUGUAGCUGGUCUGAGAGGACGACCAGCCACACUGGGACUGAGACACGGCCCAGACUCCUACGGGAGGCAGCAGUGGGGAAUUUUGGACAAUGGGGGAAGCCCUGAUCCAGCCAUGCCGCGUGCGGGAAGAAGGCCUUCGGGUUGUAAACCGCUUUUGUCAGGGAAGAAAUCCUUUGAACUAAUACUUCGGAGGGAUGACGGUACCUGAAGAGUAAGCACCGGCUAACUACGUGCCAGCAGCCGCGGUAA
rnacentral:rRNA from 1 species